rnacentral:rRNA from 1 species
UCGAACCUAAUCCAAAGGAUACUGUGAACGCGUAUACACAUGCGGUGCGUGGGGACUUUAACCGGUUGUCACGCUCGCUAGUCCGUAAGGGUCAUGUGCAYAAUGAGUGCACACUCAUUARGCUGUACGUGGUUCUGUCGGAAAUUCACAAAACCCCGGCGCAGAUAGCGUCAAGGACCAUUCAACGAAACAGCUCACCCUGAAUGCAGCCUUUUAGGUUUGUAUUCGUGUGUGUUGCUGCGAUCAUAAGUCUAAAACGACUCUCGGCAACGRAUAUCUCGGCUCUCGCAUCGAUGAAGAACGUAGCGAAAUGCGAUACUUGGUGUGAAUUGCAGAAUCCCGUGAACCAUCGAGUUUUUGAACGCAAGUUGCGCCCUAAGCCGUCAGGCCGAGGCACGCUUGCCUGGGUGUCACGCAUCGUCAUCUCCCCCACCCGUCUAAGCUUUGCUUGGGUGAUUACGGAGAAGGAGAUUGGUCUCCCGUGUGUUACCGCACGCGGUUGGCCUAAAAUCGAGACAAGGGGCGCGASACCUUGAUGAGCGGGUGGUGUGUAGAUGCCUCGUGCGAAUGCAGUUGCUUUCGUCCCGAUUGAGUCUAUGACCCUUUAAGUGUCGUUGCGCGAUUCUUGAACGCGACCCAGGUCAGUGGA